rnacentral:rRNA from 1 species
GUAACAGGAAGCAGCUUGCUGCUUCGCUGACGAGUGGCGGACGGGUGAGUAAUGUCUGGGAAACUGCCUGAUGGAGGGGGAUAACUACUGGAAACGGUAGCUAAUACCGCAUAACGUCGCAAGACCAAAGAGGGGGACCUUCGGGCCUCUUGCCAUCGGAUGUGCCCAGAUGGGAUUAGCUAGUAGGUGGGGUAACGGCUCACCUAGGCGACGAUCCCUAGCUGGUCUGAGAGGAUGACCAGCCACACUGGAACUGAGACACGGUCCAGACUCCUACGGGAGGCAGCAGUGGGGAAUAUUGCACAAUGGGCGCAAGCCUGAUGCAGCCAUGCCGCGUGUAUGAAGAAGGCCUUCGGGUUGUAAAGUACUUUCAGCGGGGAGGAAGGGAGUAAAGUUAAUACCUUUGCUCAUUGACGUUACCCGCAGAAGAAGCACCGGCUAACUCCGUGCCAGCAGCCGCGGUAAUACGGAGGGUGCAAGCGUUAAUCGGAAUUACUGGGCGUAAAGCGCACGCAGGCGGUUUGUUAAGUCAGAUGUGAAAUCCCCGGGCUCAACCUGGGAACUGCAUCUGAUACUGGCAAGCUUGAGUCUCGUAGAGGGGGGUAGAAUUCCAGGUGUAGCGGUGAAAUGCGUAGAGAUCUGGAGGAAUACCGGUGGCGAAGGCGGCCCCCUGGA